rnacentral:rRNA from 1 species
UACGGAGGGUGCGAGCGUUGUCCGGAAUCAUUGGGCGUAAAGGGCGCGUAGGCGGCCUGGUCAGUUCGUGGUGAAAGCGCGGGGCUCAACCCCGCGUCGGCCAUGAAUACUGCGAGGCUGGAGCACUGUAGAGGCAGGCGGAAUUCCGGGUGUAGCGGUGGAAUGCGUAGAGAUCCGGAAGAACACCAGUGGCGAAGGCGGCCUGCUGGGCAGUUGCUGACACUGAGGCGCGACAGCGUGGGGAGCAAACAGG